rnacentral:rRNA from 1 species
UACGUAGGCAGCAAGCGUUGUUCGGAAUUACUGGGCGUAAAGAGUGUGUAGGCGGUGCUCUAAGUUUGGUGUGAAAUCUCCCGCUCAACUGGGAGGGUGCGCCGAAAACUGGAAUGCUUGAACGUGGGAGAGGAAAGCGGAAUUCCUGGUGUAGCGGUGAAAUGCGUAGAUAUCAGGAGGAACACCUGCGGUGUAGACGGCUUUCUGGACCAUUGUUGACGCUGAGACACGAAAAGCGUGGGUAGCAAACAGG